UUGGAUGGAAGGAGGGAUGGCAGAGGUCCUAGGUGAUACUCUGCCUCCUCCUCAGCUCCCCUGUAGGGAGGACUCCAGAGAAACCACUACCAGCCUUAGGCAUGUCUUAAAGCCCCUCCUCACCCUGGGAACCAGGAACCUCACCCUCCACACCCCUGCUCUCAGCCCAGGAUCUUGGCUACACCUGCCAUACCAUAGGCACUGCCCCGCUGGGGAAGGGUUCCUGCGAACGGUUAGCACUUGGAUGUUGGCACCAACCAAUGCAGCUCUAUCCCUGAUGUCCCUCCACACCACCCCCAUCUCAGAGCCCUGCCACCCAGAACUUCACCCCCGAUCUGCUACCCAGAGUGUCUCCUGCCUUCUCAGCAGAGGCCACCUCUAGGCCCAGAAUGCAGAGGAAGGGAGACAUGUGCCCUCAUCCCAGCUCCUCAGGGAUCGAAGAUUGGGGAGGAUCCCAACAAGCCAGCAAAGAAAGGAGAUGAGCAGGUCAGCUUUCAAGUGUUGCCAAGAGCUGGCAUGGUGUGAUCCCUCAAUUGGCAAUUACUGAAGUAUCCUCACUGCUACAAAGUGCUCCUUCCCAGCUGCCAUCCUUGUAGCAGCCCAGACAUCAGGCAUCAUCCAGAAAUCCCAACUGCUCUCCGGUCCAGAAGCCCACUUGGGCUGCACUCCUGCCUCCUGUUAUAUCACUAACGGAAGAAGAGACAGCAAACACAUGGAAACCUGAGCCUUGAAUCGGAUCAUCAGACCCCAAAGGGAGGUCUGGAGCGAUAAGGUCGGAAAAAACGGGGCCCAGAUUAUCCAGUUUGGCUUUUUCCACUGAUGCAGCUUGGCGUCAUGUUCCUACUAUCUUCUAAAGAAUAUAAAUAUAUGUCUACUAUCUCCUACAUGUGACCUCUUCCUUCUGUAACUUCCUGCUCAAUAGGUCACCGCUUCUGAUCUUAUCAAUUCCAAACCCCUCCUGCCCUUGCCCUCAAGGCCUUCCGCACACAGUCCACGCCAGCUCACUCUGCUCUGGCCUGACAGGUCUCACAGUCCCACCCCACACCCUCCUUCAGGCUGUGCCCCUAGGAGAUGCCUCCCUCCUCCUUUCGCCCACCCAGGACCUCCACCUUCGAAAGCUCAGAUCAAGCCCCACUCGUUCUGCAAGGCCUCCCUCACCACAGCAACCCCCGCUUGACCUCUUCCACCACAGCUUGAGAUUUCACUUCCUCCCACACUAUUCAGUCUGUAAUUACAGUCAUCAUCGUUGACCUGCCAUGAAUAUUCAUUGCCUGUCAUAACAACCAGGACUCUACUCCCUGAAUCAUGGCCCCAAGGACAGAGGACAUAAAGACCACCUGCUUGCAGAUUCUCAAGCACGUGGGAGCAAGUCUCUGCCUGUUUCAAUUCUGACUCAAAGGACAGGUUCACAACAAUUUUAUUUGUGAACGGCAUGUUCUCCAGAACGUUCCCAAUGCAGAGCCAAUCUGCCACCAUCCAAAGAAGCACAUCCCAUAAAUAAUGACUAAUGUGUUUGACAAACCAGGGGUAGCUUCUGGUAUGUGCUGUUCACAGGUAUUAGAGCAGCGAUUUUCAACUGGUGUGCCGCAAGAAUUUUUGAA